GCCUUCGUGGUGUAGUGGUCAGCAUUCUCGACGCGUAACCGAGAGGUCCGUGGUUCGAUUCCUCGAGAAGGCG
rnacentral:tRNA from 1 species